AGGCUGCAGCCGCGCCCCCAGCCGUAUUUCCGCGGGCGCUGAGCACUAGAGAGAGCGUCUUGUGGCUGCGGCCUGCCCCUCAGCCUCCUCCGCGCGGUUACCCCUGUACCCGCCGCCAUCCGUCCUGGCGCUCCGGAUGAGUCAAUGAGGGGCAGGGCCCGAGGAGUGGUCUUCCCAAGAACCCCUGGUGGCCUCCCAAGGCCGGUGCUGUGUACCUCCUCCCCGACAAAAGGGGAAACUGAGGCCCCGAGGGGAGUGGGAAGAGCCGGCUGGACGUCAGGCCCAGCCGCUGGUGCAGUGGUCCGUCCCCUCUGCCGGGGUGGGCCCCUCGGGUUUCGCGUGUCCUCGGGAAAGAGACUGGCGGGCCUCGUGGGCUGUGCGGCUAUCCUGGAGACAGAUGACAGCUCUCCCUUGGAUGGCUUUGCUGGUUCCGCACCAGCCAGCGCCCCCAUUUUUCCUGCAGCACCCUGAUCUGCACUCCCUGAGGGGCUCCCACUGUCCGCGGUGUGAGGAUGUCCCUGGUCCACUGUGUGCAGAGGCAUGGGAGUUGUCAUGUUGGGAACAUGCUAGACCUCAGUAUCCUUGAGGGAUGCUGCCUUGGGUCUGGAAACUGUUAGAGGAAACCCCAAGAGGUGCAGGCACUGAGCCUCUCAGGACAAUGACCUGGGGUCCCAGCUCCCCUGGAGGGGCCUCCUCAUGAUUGUUUGGGGGUUGAUCACAGACCAAGAGUGACGAGUGAUGUCACCCUGUGACUCAUGGCUGGACCUUCUUGCCCCUAUUGUCUCAGCACAACAUUAUUCGACUUUUCCCUCAGCGUGGGUGGGCAGAGGAAAAGCCCUGUGGCUCUGGGGACUUGGGAUCCAGAGUUGAAGACCCUUCAGCUGGCUCUGCCCUGCCAGUGCCACAGAGUGCCAUGGCCCAGGAAGACAGGUUUUCUUCCAUCUAGGCCAGGCCAUCCAGUGGCCAUCCUCCGUGUCCUCCCGCCUCCUCCUGGUGUGACUUCUGAAAACCAAGAAUUUGUUCCUGUUGACUUUUUCUGUGCUAUGGACCAUUGUCCUCUCACCCACUCAAUAAAUCUUGAAACAUGCCCUGC
rnacentral:lncRNA from 10 species